rnacentral:rRNA from 1 species
GUUUGAUCCUGGCUCAGAACGAACGCUGGCGGCAGGCUUAACACAUGCAAGUCGAACGAGCUGGGAACUUCGGUUCCCGAUGCUAGUGGCGCACGGGUGAGUAACACGUGGGAACAUACCCUUUAGUACGGAAUAACUCAGGGAAACUUGAGCUAAUACCGUAUGACUCCUUCGGGAGAAAGAUUUAUCGCUAAAGGAAUGGCCCGCGUCUGAUUAGGUAGUUGGUGAGGUAACGGCUCACCAAGCCGACGAUCAGUAGCUGGUCUGAGAGGAUGAUCAGCCACACUGGGACUGAGACACGGCCCAGACUCCUACGGGAGGCAGCAGUGGGGAAUAUUGGACAAUGGGCGAAAGCCUGAUCCAGCCAUGCCGCGUGAGUGAAGAAGGCCUCGGUGUAAGUACUCUUUCGUACGGGGACGGAGUGAGUGACGGUACCCGUACGUAA